rnacentral:rRNA from 1 species
CGACGAAUCUUCCGCAAUGGGCGAAAGCCUGACGGAGCGAUGCCGCGUGCGGGAUGAAGCGGCUUUGCCGUGUAAACCGCUGUCAGGGAAUAGAAAUACUGAUCAUUCCCAGAGGAAGGGGCGACUAACUCUGUGCCAGCAGUCGCGGUAAGACAGAGGCCCCGAGCGUUAGUCGGAAUCACUGGGCUUAAAGGGUGCGUAGGCGGAUUCAUAAGUGUCGUGUGAAAGCCCACUGCUCAACGGUGGAACCGCACGGCAAACUGUGAGUCUUGAGGAAGCUAGAGGUCGCUAGAACGAAUGGUGGAGCGGUGGAAUGCGUAGAUAUCAUUCGGAAUGCCAAAGGUGAAGACAGGCGACUGGGGCUUUCCUGACGCUGAGGCACGAAAGCGUGGGGAGCAAA